GACGAACGCUGGCGGCGUGCUUAACACAUGCAAGUCGAGCGGUAAGGCCCUUUCGGGGGUACACGAGCGGCGAAUGGGUGAGUAACACGUGGGUGACCUGCCUUUAGCUCUGGGAUAAGCCUGGGAAACUGGGUCUAAUACCGGAUAUGACCCUAUGGCGCAUGUUGUGGGGUGGAAAGCCUUGUGCGGCUAGGGAUGGGCCCGCGGCCUAUCAGCUUGUUGGUGGGGUGAUGGCCACCAAGGCGACGACGGGUAGCCGGCCUGAGAGGGCGACCGGCCACACUGGGACUGAGACACGGCCCAGACUCCUACGGGAGGCAGCAGUGGGGAAUCUUGCGCAAUGGGCGAAAGCCUGACGCAGCGACGCCGCGUGAGGGAUGACGGCCUCGUGU
rnacentral:rRNA from 1 species